rnacentral:rRNA from 1 species
GGAGGGGGAUAACUACUGGAAACGGUAGCUAAUACCGCAUAACGUCGCAAGACCAAAGAGGGGGACCUUCGGGCCUCUUGCCAUCGGAUGUGCCCAGAUGGGAUUAGCUAGUAGGUGGGGUAACGGCUCACCUAGGCGACGAUCCCUAGCUGGUCUGAGAGGAUGACCAGCCACACUGGAACUGAGACACGGUCCAGACUCCUACGGGAGGCAGCAGUGGGGAAUAUUGCACAAUGGGCGCAAGCCUGAUGCAGCCAUGCCGCGUGUAUGAAGAAGGCCUUCGGGUUGUAAAGUACUUUCAGCGAGGAGGAAGGUGUUGAGGUUAAUAACCGCAGCAAUUGACGUUACUCGCAGAAGAAGCACCGGCUAACUCCGUGCCAGCAGCCGCGGUAAUACGAAGGGUGCAAGCGUUAGUCGGAAUUACUGGGCGUAAAGCGCACGCAGGCGGUCUGUCAAGUCGGAUGUGAAAUCCCCGGGCUCAACCUGGGAACUGCAUCCGAAACUGGCAGGCUAGAGUCUUGUAGAGGGGGGUAGAAUUCCAGGUGUAGCGGUGAAAUGCGUAGAGAUCUGGAGGAAUACCGGUGGCGAAGGCGGCCCCCUGGACAAAGACUGACGCUCAGGUGCGAAAGCGUGGGGAGCAAACAGGAUUAGAUACCCUGGUAGUCCACGCCGUAAACGAUGUCGACGUGGAGGUUGUGCCCUUGAGGCGUGGCUUCCGGAGCUA